rnacentral:rRNA from 1 species
CCUACGGGGGGCAGCAGUGGGGAAUAUUUGGCAAUGGGCGCAAGCCUGACGCAGCGACGCCGCGUGAAGGAAGAAGGCUUUCGGGUUGUAAACUUCUUUUCUCAGGGAAGAAGCAAGUGACGGUACCUGGGGAAUAAGCCACGGCUAACUACGGGCCAGCAGCCGCGGUAAUACGUAGGUGGCACGCGUUAUCCGGAUUUACUUGGUGGAAAGGGCGUGUAGGCCGGACUGGAAGUCAGAUGUGAAAACCACGGGCUCAACCUGUGGCCUGCAUUUGAAAAUGUAGUUCUUGAGUACUGGAGAGGCAGACGGAAUGCCUAGUGUAGCGGUGAAAUGCGUAGAUAUUAGGAGGAACACCAGUGGCGAAGGCGGUCUGCUGGACAGCAACUGACGCUGAGGCGCGAAAGCGUGGGGAGCAAACAGGAUUAGAUACCCGUGUAGUC